UAAGCAUAUCAAUAAGCGGAGGAAAAAGAAAAAUAACAAUGAUUCCCCUAGUAACGGCGAGUGAAGAGGGAAAAGCUCACAGUUGGAACCUGGUGGGCAUAGCUCACCCGGAUUGUAAACUAAAGUUUUUGAGUCGUUUAGUCAGCCAGGUAAAUAAGUCCUCUGGAAAGGGGCGACAUAGAGGGUGAAAUCCCCGUCUUUGGCCUGAGUUUUGAUUAGGCGUUUGGCUUGGAAACGAAGAGUCAGGUUGUUUGGGAAUGCAGCCUAAAAUGGGAGGUAAAUCUCUCCUAAAGCUAAAUAUUGACGAAAGACCGAUAGCGAACAAGUACCGUGAGGGAAAGAUGAAAAGCACUUUGAAAAGAGGGUCAAAAAGUACGUGAAAUUGCUGAAAGGGAACCGUAUGAAAUCAGACUUACUGGUAGGUAAUCAAUCUUUCCCUUGGGAAGGAUGCACUUGCCUGCUAUGUACGCCAGCGACAUUUUGGUUGUGGAGGAAAAAAAUAGUUGGAAUGUAGCCUGGGUUUCGGCUUAGGUGUUAUAGACUACUAUAAAAUACUCUCGGCUAGAAUGAGGAACGCAGCAAACCGUAAGGCGAAGAUUUUAGGCGCUUGGGGGGAAUCAUUAGAGAAUUUCUGCUUCGGGUGGUGCUUUAGUGAUUUCGUUCAACUCGUUUGAAUUUCUUUUUAUUUGCUUAGGUUGUUGGCUUAAUGAUUUUAUAUGACCCGUCUUGAAACACGGACCAAGGAGUCCACCAUAUGCGCGAGUCUUUGGGUGUAGAAACCCAUGGGCGGAAGGAAAUUGACUAAGAUACCAAGGCUUUAGCUGGCAGUAUCCCCCGGCAUAGACGUUUUAUACUGAAAUGACUGAGGGCAAGCGCUUAUGAUGGGACCCGAAAGAUGGUGAACUAUACUUGAAUAGGGUAAAGCCCGAGGAAACUCUGGUGGAAGCUCGCAGCGAUUUCUGACGUGCAAUCGAUCGUCAAAUUUGAGUAUAGGGGCGAAAGACUAAUCGAACCAUCUAGUAGCUGGUUCCUGCCGAA
rnacentral:rRNA from 1 species